GCAUGCCUAAAACAUAGUGUUAAUGCACUAGAUUCCAUUAGAACCCUCCAGUUAAGCAUUCUUAGGCUAGAGUAGUACUAGAAUGGGUGACCGCUUGGGAAUUCCUAGUGUUUUACAUGCC
rnacentral:rRNA from 1 species